AUUGAACGCUGGCGGCAGGCUUAACACAUGCAAGUCGAGCGGUAGCACGGGGGAGCUUGCUCCCUGGGUGACGAGCGGCGGACGGGUGAGUAAUGCAUGGGAAUCUGCCCAGUAGUGGGGGAUAACCCGGCGAAAGUCGGACUAAUACCGCAUACGACCUACGGGUGAAAGCGGGGGAUCGCAAGACCUCGCGCUAUCGGAGCGGCCGAUAUCAGAUUAGCUUGUUGGUGGGGUAAAAGCCUACCAAGGCGACGAUCUGUAGCUGGUCUGAGAGGACGACCAGCCACACUGGGACUGAGACACGGCCCAGACUCCUACGGGAGGCAGCAGUGGGGAAUUUUGGACAAUGGGCGCAAGCCUGAUCCAGCCAUGCCGCGUGCGGGAAGAAGGCCU
rnacentral:rRNA from 1 species